GACGAACCGUGCGAACGUUGUUCGGAAUCACUGGGCUUAAAGGGCGCGUAGGCGGGCGAUCAAGUCAGUGGUGAAAUCCUCCAGCUCAACUGGAGAACUGCCUUUGAUACUGGUCGUCUCGAGUGAGGUAGGGGCAUGCGGAACUGAUGGUGGAGCGGUGAAAUGUGUUGAUAUCAUCAGGAACUCCGGUGGCGAAAGCGGCGUGCUGGACCUUAACUGACGCUGAGUGCGCGAAAGCUAGGGGAGCGAACGGG
rnacentral:rRNA from 1 species